rnacentral:rRNA from 1 species
AUUGAACGCUGGCGGCACGCCUAACACAUGCAAGUCGAGCGGCAGCGCGAUAUGUAGCAAUACAUAUUGGCGGCGAGCGGCGGACGGGUGAGGAACACGUAGGAACCUACCCUCGAGUGGGGGAUAACCAAGGGAAACUUUGGCUAAUACCGCAUGAAUUCGAGAGAGCAAAGCUGCCGCAAGGUGGCGCUCGAGGAGGGGCCUGCGUCCGAUUAGCUAGUUGGUGAGGUAAGAGCUCACCAAGGCGAUGAUCGGUAACUGGUCUGAGAGGACGACCAGGCACACUGGGACUGAGACACGGCCCAGACUCCUACGGGAGGCAGCAGUGGGGAAUAUUGGACAAUGGGGGCAACCCUGAUCCAGCGAUGCCGCGUGAGUGAAGAAGGCCUUCGGGUCGUAAAGCUCUUUAGGUUGGGAAGAAGGGUGAUGGAGGAAAUGCUAUCACUUUGACGGUACCGACAGAAUAAGCACCGGCAAACUCUGUGCCAGCAGCCGCAGUAAGAC